rnacentral:rRNA from 1 species
UACGUAGGGGGCAAGCGUUGUCCGGAUUUAUUGGGCGUAAAGAGCGUGUAGGCGGCACGAUUAGUCCGCUGUGAAAGUCCAGGGCUCAACCCUGGAAUGCCGGUGGAUACUGUCGGGCUAGAGUCCGGAAGGGGCGAGUGGAAUUCCUGGUGUAGCGGUGAAAUGCGCAGAUAUCAGGAGGAACACCAAUGGCGAAGGCAGCUCGCUGGGACGUGACUGACGCUGAGACGCGAAAGCGUGGGGAGCAAACAGG